GAGCCGGCCGCCGCGCCCGGCAGGGGGCAGCCGCCCUCCCGCAGCGCCGCCCGGACCCGGAGCCGGGCUGUAACGGCGCGAGGCGGGGCGCGCGGACGCGGGGCAGCGGGAAACGAGCGCGUGCCCGGCCUUCCCGCCGCUGCUGCUGCUGCGGCGGCACGGGGGGGGAGAAGGCGGGAAAGGAGGGCGGGAGCGCCGCCCUGGGCUCAGCGCACGCCCUUGUAAAUCACACCCUGGUGCAGAACUUCGCGUUCGCUUUUUGGCUGUUGCUUCGCUCACACGUGUCGUCUGGCGCUACUAGAGCUAGCAGAUGACAGCGUGACGGUUAGCCGCAUUUCCCGGCCUUCCGGGCAGCUGCUUCAGCAAAAGUAACAAAACCCGUAGCAACUCGCGUUGGCGGCAGCACUGGGGCGCGGCCUGUGGAAACCUCCGCACCUCCCGUACCGGUAAUGGCUGCAGGCGCGUCGGGGACAGAAGCGACGGGCAACGCUGGUGGAGCCGGGAGCGCAGGAGGGGCCGGCGCCGCCCGCGUGCCGUAUGGGAUCCCCGCAGCCGGGCUGAGUAGUUUGAAUGACCCACACCUCCAUUUACUGAAGUACUGAAAUGCGUGGGUGAGCCCACAGAGCUCAGCGGUGUGCAACAUGAGAAGUCAAAGUGCUUCACAGUGGAAUUUAUUUGAGAAUAGGUACAGCUGCAAGAUGAAGAACAGGAGAAGUUCCUUUUUUGGGGAUAUUGAAAGACAAGAACUUUGUACAUGGCGGAGAGAAGAGAUAAGAAACAUGCAUGCAAAAACAACAUGGUUGACACAAGCAAAGCCAUUGACUAAAAGUGACUUGCAUAACAAUCCUUUAACUGUGGAAAAGCAAUUGUGAAUAAGUUGUCUUUAUCAGUUAGGAAAAUGAAGCAAAACAAAAGUACCAAUUACAUAAUGGCUGUGCAUCCACUGAAGAAUGUACGUAGAUCAGAGCCUGCUAAGCAGAAAACAACAGCGCGUUUAGAUCCAUUAUGAGUGAGAGAACUUGUUUUUGAGGCCACACCGACAGGAAGGAUCGUUGUAUUAAGAUAAAUAAAACGUCCAGAAGGGUGAUUAAAAGCAUUAUGUUGGACUUAGUGGAAUUAAACAUCUGGAUAGAAGUGGUGUUGGACACAGGCUGGCAUUUGGUCAGGAAUAGACUUCUCCGGUGCAGAAAAACAAAACAAGUGACUCAGUAGAACAAAGGCUGCAGUUGAAUGUGUUUGCCCGCAGGAUUACUGAAAAAAAAUGAGCUGUGGAAGGGCACAAAUAGAAAACCAAAAAUGGGACAGUAGCUGUAACAAAAUGAAUGGUAGCAAUGCUGACAGAAGACAAGACACAUGGAGCUAUGUGAAACUGGUAGUGUUUUUGUUCCUUCUACUAAUGGUGCUUCCGCAUUCCAGUUGAAGGAUUGGCUGUAACGCUGUCUGCUCUGUUUAUCUAUUAAUUUCUCUUGUAUGGUACCCAGUUGUGUUUUCAAAAGAAGUACAUAUUGUAUUUUACAAGACCAGCACUGUCAGACCCUGCACCUACAACAGGAGCUGUCUGCAAGGGCUGAUUUUGUUAUGCCAUGAAGCAUUUGUGUUCUUACUACGAUAAGCUGUUGUUCUACCAUUAAUUGUUUUGGUAGGCUUUUUUCCCCACUGUCAUAUUCUCAUUACAAACAUUUUUCUAUGAAAUAACACUAAUGAAGAUCCAACCAUCUAUCAGUACAAAGGGAAAUCUCACAUGAUCUUCUCAGCUAUAGCUGCUAACACUACGUUAACUCAAAGUCAGGCAUCCUACUGCUGUCAAAACCAAUAUCAAAUAUUAUUGGGAGCUGCAAUAUAUAAUGCCUUCAGAAAAACACACAUCUGAUAUCAAACAGCAUCUGAAUCUCUUUUCCCACAGGAUCAAAGCUAAAGCUUUGAUAGCCACACGAUAACCUUUGGUUAGAUGUAUUUUGCAGGUGGGUAUUGCUAAAAGUUAGCCAGUAACACAAUAAAGCAGGAGAUUAAUUAUGUAACAUGAUUAGAGACACUGGAGCACCACCAUUGGCAUAAGGCAUUACUGUUAUCAUUUACCUGUUCAAAUUACAUACAGGGAACGGAACUUUUCUAGUCUUCCGCAUUGCACAUUCCUAAUUUUACCUGAUCUCUCAAUUUUCAGGCAAGUUCUGGACGUUACUUUUGGUCAAUGCCUGUGAAAACCGUUCUCUCUAGAAAAUCCUGUGCAUGGAAUUACGGCAUCUCCAUAAUUGCUGUGAAAUCAUCUCAUCUACUUAUUCUGGAAGAAGCUGGAGGUGACAGCCACCUGCUGCCACAGAGCAACUCCGAGCCAGAACCACUCCUGAGCACCGGUAAAUAGUACUUCACUAAGUACUGAAGACAACUGAGAUGCCAGGAGAAACUUCUGGAAAUUAAAUCCUUUUAACUUCCUUUUACUACUCUUAUAAUUAAUUAAGACCUGUAAUUAUCCACUGGUUGAAGCAGAGCCUUAUAAAGCUGAAAAUUACUCACAAUUUGCAGCUGCAGAGACCUCAGUCAUUUCCCUUCAUUUUAUUGGAAAAUUUAGAAAUCUUCUCUUGGUGUAUACGUUCAUUCUGUUGAACAUAAAUUGGUAGGAUUUUGUUGCAGCAUGAAACAGCGAGACUAUUUCUGAUCAGUAUCAACUUCUUCCCGAUUCUUGGUUAAAUGCAUGCAUGUGGUUUUGCUUUUAAGUUCUAAAUACAGUCAGCUAAUUUUGAAACCACAACACGUUUUAGUAAAACAGAUUUAUCCAGUUGUACCUUUCAAAGCCCAGGGAUGGAGGCUGCACAAUAGCUCUGGGUCUGAGGAGCAGAGGGGGAUAAUCCCUUCUCUCAAUCCAGCAGCUGUGCUCCUGUUAGUGCAGCACAGGAUGCUAUUGCCUUUCUUUGCUGCCAGCGCACACUGCUGACCUCAAUUCAACCCUUUUCAGUAGAGCUGCUCUCCAGCCAGUCAGUCCCUUUAUCUCUCAUUUCUGGUCUACCAGAAGAAGGUGAUGUUGCUGUCCUUAAAGUGGAAGUUUGGUCCUUACAUUGGAAUUCAGUACUACUAAACCUGGGAUAAUUUUGCUGUUCAAUAACUUUGCUCCCAUCCUUCUUCCAUCCCUUUUUGAACUGCAUUUAUGCUUUUAACUUUGCUAAAUAAGGCUUGCUCCUUUGCAUGCCAAAGAGAUAACAAACGUAUGACACCUGAGUCAUUAGUAACAUCAGUACUCAUCAGUAAACUAAGCAUACUGAGCCACCUAAUGAAGACAAGAAUUAAAUGCUGCUAUAUGAUAAAUACACUGCAGAGAAUGGGGCUGCGGGCAAUGCUGACUUCAGGAAGGAAGCAAUCAAUCGGAAAUUUGUUUUUUAACCAAGGCUCUGAACACUUCUAAAAAAGUAGUUAUCUGCAAUACCAGGUUGGUAGGAGAGGUGGGGAAAUAAAAGUGCUCCCCCAUGGACCAGCUGAUCUAUUUCUGGACCACAGUUUGCACCACCUGCCUGCCAAAGAGCCUUCAGCAUACACAUCCUAAGGAGGGGGGUUAAAAAGAAAGGAGCUGCAGACAGACCAAGCCUGCAUUUAGCCUAGGAUAUAUGGAUGGCAGUUAAAGGAAGAGUAAAGCAACACGUGCUAUUUGCCCUAAGAAUCCUCACUGUUUCUCAUCAUUUUGGGGGGGAGGAGAUAAAUCCUAACACUUGUUGC
rnacentral:lncRNA from 1 species